GGGGGAUGGCUCAGCGGUUAAGAGCACUGGCUGCUCUUCCAGAUGAGCUGGGUUCAAUUCCCAGCACCCA
rnacentral:tRNA from 1 species